AUUGAACGCUGGCGGAAUGCUUUACACAUGCAAGUCGAACGGCAGCACGGACUUCGGUCUGGUGGUGAGUGGCGAACGGGUGAGUAAUAUAUCGGAACGUGCCCAGUCGUGGGGGAUAACGUAGUGAAAAUUACGCUAAUACCGCAUACGAUCUAUGGAUGAAAGCGGGGGAUCGCAAGACCUCGCGCGAUUGGAGCGGCCGAUAUCAGAUUAGGUAGUUGGUGAGGUAAAGGCUCACCAAGCCGACGAUCUGUAGCUGGUCUGAGAGGACGACCAGCCACACGGGAACUGAGAUACGGUCCAGACUCCUACGGGAGGCAGCAGUGGGGAAUUUUGGACAAUGGACGCAAGUCUGAUCCAGCCAUUCCGCGUGCAGGACGAAGGCCUUCGGGUUGUAAACUGCUUUUGUACAGAACGAAAAGGUCUCUAUUAAUACUAGGGGCUCAUGACGGUACUGUAAGAAUAAGCAUCGGCUAACUCCGUGCCAGCCGCCGCCGUAA
rnacentral:rRNA from 1 species